AAUUAGGUCGCGUGAGGGAUAGUAGUGAAAAUCCUUUUUAGUGCGUGAGCAAUAAAAAGAUUCUAACGAAUAGCCCGACAGCAU
rnacentral:sRNA from 1 species